UGUAGGCAUGAGGGCCUCAGGUAAUUCUUAUUUGGUCCUGCAUUAUUGUGGGGCACAGAAAAUAUUAGUGAAAACAAAUUACCCCCACCACAUCCUCCACUUCACUUCAAAAUUAAAAACAUGUUUGCAAAAAUAAAGCCUGCAGUGUACUGUUGGAGUAUCUGAGAGCAUUUAACUGUAGAGUUUUAAACAUUAUAGUUUACUUGUUUUCCUUGA